rnacentral:lncRNA from 1 species
AUUUAUUCCAGCGGUCCUCUUCAAUUAUCUACACUCGGCUCUCUCUCUUUCUCUCUCUAUCUCAGCCGACCUCUUCCAUUCCUCUUCGAAAACCCUAGAUUCGCCGGUCAAGAUCCACCGGCGCCGCCUCCCCUUCCCCCUCUGUAUGUGUGCGUUGCUCGUCGCCUAAUAUUUGGGCGAAGCAGUGCAUCUCCAUUGACGACACGCCGCUCUCUCUCUCUCUGUCUACCGGUCGGCUUCCUCCAUUCCUCUUCGAAAAUCUUAACGUCGUCGGUCGAUUUCCACCGGCGCCGCCUUCCCUUACUCCAUUCCUCUCUGAAAAUCUGUAAAACCGUCGAGCACAAAUUGGAGUAUUAAUUUGUUUUUUCCCAAUUAUAGAGAACCCACGCUCCGAAAAGCUGCUCAGAAGUUUCUCUCUCUAGAUGUCAAUGGCGAAUCCAAACUCUGCUGCUGUCGGUUUCGCGGUAAUGCUGAUCGUAUUGUUUGUACUGCGUUGUGGAUCUGAUCUGAGUUUGAGAUCCAGGUGGAUUUUUGAAUUGAAUGUUAUGAGUGAUUUGUGUUUUUUUGUUGCAGAUUUUGUUGAAAUUUGUUGCAGAUUUCUUACAGAUUUUGGAGGCUUGAUUGAGAACUGAACUGAAUUCGUAAUGCAAAUUUGUUGUUUAAUUCGCGUGGUUAUUUACUCCAUUCUUGUAAUUUCUUGUUGUUUAAUUUCUUGCAGAUUGAGAACUGAAUGUGAUUGAUCUGGAGGCUUUUGUUGUUUAAUUUCUUGCAGAUUUUGUUGAAAUUUGUUGUAAAGAUUUUGUUGAAAUUUGCAGAUUUUUUGUUGUUUAAUUUAUAGAAUUCAGUUUUGCUAAUUUUAAAAGAAUGAUUAGGCCAUAUUUACUUUUUCUUAAACAUGUGGGGCCUUACACUUUACAACACUAAUUCAACACUUCUUAGUCUCCGUGCCCAAAA